rfam:Schistosoma mattheei strain Denwood, Zambia genome assembly, scaffold: SMTD_scaffold0026940
GACGAGUCCCAAAUAGGACGAAACGCGAGUCCUGGAU